UAUGAACCACAUCACAGGAAUAAUGUCCGAGUAUAUAUUUGGAGGUUAUCAAGCGAAUAUUUAGCAUGCACACAAUAAACAGACAGUAUAUAUAUGUAUAUUUAUAGAUACAUAUAUAUGUAUGUAUGUGUGUGUGUGCGUAUAGGUCCAAUAUACAAGCGUUUUCUUUGAUGUUCUCAGAACCGGCUUUAUGAAUCGAUUCCAAGUCUAAUCGACGCUAGAACUCAACAAUUGUUAACACAUGUCGAUUACUGCAAGAACCAUCUCGAUUUGUUAAUUUGUUCAAGAGAUCGUUGGAGAAAGAAAUGGUCAAAGACUCAAAAGAACGCGUCAAUUUCUGCAAGAACUAUCUCAAUUGGUUCAUCCGUUCAAGAGGUAUCGUAGGAGAAAGAGAUGUUAAGCGUUUUGCUAUUGAGAACGACAAUCUUGCACACCAAGGGAUAAAAGUGGGACAUUACUACCCGUGUGUAAUUGUCUAUCCGAGCGAAAAGUAAAUACGUGGAUUGGGAUGUCCUAUCUUCGUGGUGUGUAUACAUACUUUUUUUUUUACCAGAUCGACAACUGCAAGUUUGAAUUUCUGCCAUUAUUUGCAGAAAGAUUAUCAGAAGUGAAAAUUUAUUUCAUCUGUCUUUUCAUAAGAAAAAAGUGCAACUUCCUUUUCUUUAAGCAGGA